GACUCGAUGCUCAACCAGAUAAAACAUGUAUUCAUCAUACAGUAGACGAAUCAGGUGAAAGGAACCAAAACUGGCAGCACUACGCAAGUGUAUACCCACUAGUACAGGCAUCAGAAUGUCCCAGCACCACAGAAGCUGAGGAUGGUUAUAUAACUCCUGAGAAGACAAUGUCUCAGUCUGGGACUUACCUGUAAAAGGACCAUUUAAGCAGGAACUGUCUCGCUGCCUUGGGGAAACUGGGGCUGCCAGCAUGGUGCUUUAGAACCUGAGUGACAACAUUAUCAAGCCACGUGGCCCACUGAUCCAGGGAGCUCUGCUGUUGCAAAGUCAGCUUGAAAUCCUGCUCCAGCUUCUGUACUACGCUCUCUUCACACUGGCACACCCAUGAGGCUUGUUCCUGGGAGUAAGAAGAACCUGUGGAUGGGGAUAUAAGCAUUUAACAGAAAAUUCUUGGUUGAAUAUAACAUUUAUGGCAAUGAAGACUAAGGGACUGCACCAGUGAACCAGCCUAUCCCAAGAAGAAUGAAGGAGCAUUAAAACCAAAUGUAGUGGAGAAGCGAACGUUGAUCUAAACAUGAAAAAGGACAGGGUUUUAGGAGCUGGGGUUUAAAUUCCCUUUUUGAAAUCAAUUCUUACAGAAUCUAGAGUGGUCAAUAGCCGUUAAAUGAUACCACAAUCCUACAACUGGGCUAAUAUCAUCACACCUCUUGUUGCUAGCUCAUGUAGUCCCUAGUGUGCUAAUAAGCUUGAAUCAAGGAGAGGCUAGUUCUAAUUUGGGAAGAACAUCUAUGCAGGGGAUAGCAGCCCCACAGCUCCUAAGUAGAUACAUGUCUGCAUAAGGGAAAAAAGGAGUUGAAAGAAGUCAGAUAUAUAGUCAAUCAAACUCCUUUGUACUAACCUUGUUCC